rnacentral:rRNA from 19 species
UUAAAUUGAAGAGUUUGAUCAUGGCUCAGAUUGAACGCUGGCGGCAGGCCUAACACAUGCAAGUCGAACGGUAACAGGAAGCAGCUUGCUGCUUCGCUGACGAGUGGCGGACGGGUGAGUAAUGUCUGGGAAACUGCCUGAUGGAGGGGG